rnacentral:lncRNA from 1 species
GCGCCGGGGACGAAAUCUAUGGCAUGUUGAAUAUCUCUUAGCGGAGGUAGAUGAUCAGGUAGGUCCUCCGGAAAGACAUCUCGAAACUCCUGAAGGAUCGAUUGGACUUCCGCAGUAUCCUCACUUGUGGAGUUAGAUGAAACCUCCAUGACUACUAAGGCGAACACAAUUGAGUCACCAACAAUUGUACGCUCAAACUCUGUAGGACUAAUGAUAUGCAACCCCUUUUGUUCCACGCUUUUCUUCGCUUCUAGUGAACCAGCCGGCUUUGGGGGUAGUGGGUUAAGGUGAAUCUUCUUUCCAUUAAACACGAAGGAGCAGGAAUUGGAUCGACCAUAUAUGGUUACAUCUAGGUCAAAUAGCCAAGGUCGUCCUAAGAUGAUGUGCCCGACGUCCAUCGAAAUAACGUCACACCAUAUAUGGUCCUUAUACUCCAGGAACUGGAUAUG